GUGGGGAAUCUUCCGCAAUGGGCGAAAGCCUGACGGAGCAACGCCGCGUGAGUGAUGACGGCCUUCGGGUUGUAAAGCUCUGUGAUCGGGGACGAACGGUUGCAGGAAUAAUACUCCUGUGAAGUGACGGUACCCGAAUAGCAAGCCACGGCUAACUACGUGCCAGCAGCCGCGGUAAUACGUAGGUGGCAAGCGUUGUCCGGAAUUAUUGGGCGUAAAGCGCGCGCAGGCGGCUUCCUAAGUCCAUCUUAAAAGUGCGGGGCUUAACCCCGUGAUGGGAUGGAAACUGGGAAGCUGGAGUAUCGGAGAGGAAAGUGGAAUUCCUAGUGUAGCGGUGAAAUGCGUAGAGAUUAGGAAGAACACCGGUGGCGAAGGCGACUUUCUGGACGACAACUGACGCUGAGGCGCGAAAGCGUGGGGAGCAAACAGGAUUAGAAACCCCAGUAGUCC
rnacentral:rRNA from 1 species